CCGGCAGUCUCGAUCCCAGAGUUCAGGACCCUCCCUUUGGUGGCGUUCAUGCCACUCCAUCGCCAUUCCGGCUCAUUCGCCUUCCCGUCAAAGCUUAAGGGGAGAGGUAUAGCAAGAAAACUCUUCCUCCGUUGGUGAUUUGAUCUUAGCCUAUUACCCUAAGCCUAGGAGAUCAUGGCAUGAGGAGGAGCUCAAGAAGAAAGUUCGGGACAACUGAGCGUCAUUUUGGUGAAGUCUAGAUUGCGCCUCACUGGAGCAGUGAUGGCCUCG
rnacentral:lncRNA from 1 species